GAUGAACGCUAGCGGGAGGCCUAACACAUGCAAGCCGAGCGGUAUUGUUUCUUCGGAAUUGGGAGAGCGGCGUACGGGUGCGUAACACGUGUGCAACCUGCCUUUAUCUGGGGGAUAGCCUUUCGAAAGGAAUAUUAAUAUUCCAUAAUAUAUUUAACGGCAUCGUUUAAUAUUUAAAGCUCCGGCGGAUAAAGAAGGGCGCGCGCUAGAUUAUCUAGGUGUUGAGGUAACGGCGCACCAAGGUGGGGAUCUUUAGGGGGCCUGAGGGGGUGAGCCCCCACACGGGUACUGAGACGCGGACCAGACUUAUACGGGGCGGCGGUGUGGGAUAUAGUAGAAAAGGGGUGCACGCCUGACACCGCCACCCCGUGUGAAGGACGACUGCCCUAGGGGUUGUAAUCUUCUUUUGGAUAGGGAUAACCCUACCCUCUGGAGGGUAGCUGACGGUACUUUAAGAAGAAGCACCGGCUAACUACGUG
rnacentral:rRNA from 1 species